rnacentral:rRNA from 1 species
CCCUUAGAUGUUCUGGGCUGCACGCGCGCUACACUGAUGCACUCAACGAGUAUACAGCCUUAUCCGGAAGGAUUGGGUAAUCUUUUGAACGUGCAUCGUGAUGGGGAUAGAUUAUUGCAAUUAUUAAUCUUCAACGAGGAAUUCCUAGUAAGCGCAAGUCAUCAGCUUGCGCUGAUUACGUCCCUGCCCUUUGUACACACCGCCCGUCGCUCCUACCGAUUUCGAGUGGUCCGGUGAACCUUUGGGACCGCGUAUGGCUUGUCCAGGCGUGGAAACUCAAGUAAACCACAUCACUUAGAGGAAGGAGAAGUCGUAACA